CCUACGGGGCGCAGCAGUAGGGAAUCUUCGGCAAUGGACGAAAGUCGGACCGAGCAACGCCGCGUGAGUGACGAAGGUUUUCGGAUCGUAAAACUCUGUUGGUAGAGCAGAACGUUGGUGAGAGUGGAAAGCUCAUCAAGUGACGGUAACUACCCAGCAAGGGACGGCUAACUACGUGCCAGCAGCCGCGGUAAUACGUAGGUCCCGAGCGUUGUCCGGAUUUAUUGGGCGUAUAGCGAGCGCAGGUGGUUUAUUAAGUCUGUUGUAAAAGGCAGGGGCUCAACCAUUGUAUGCAUUGGAAACCGGUAGACUUGAGUGCAGGAGAGGAGAGUGGAAUUCUAUGUGUAGCGGUGAAAUGCGUAGAUAUAGGGAGGAACACCGGUGGCGAAAGCGGCUCUCUGGCCUGUAACUGACACUGAGGCUCGAAAGCGUGGGGAGCAAACAGGAUUAGAUACCCGGGUAGUC
rnacentral:rRNA from 1 species